rnacentral:rRNA from 1 species
AAAGCGUGCGCAGGCGGUUAUGUAAGACAGAUGUGAAAUCCCCGGGCUCAACCUGGGAACUGCAUUAGUGACUGCAUAGCUGGAGUACGGCAGAGGGGGAUGGAAUUCCGCGUGUAGCAGUGAAAUGCGUAGAUAUUCGGAGGAACACCGAUGGCGAAGGCAAUCCCCUGGGCCUGUACUGACGCUCAUGCACGAAAGCGUGGGGAGCAAACAGGAUUAGAUACCCCAGU